UGCAAGUCGAACGGCAGCACGGGAGCAAUCCUGGUGGCGAGUGGCGAACGGGUGAGUAAUAUAUCGGAACGUGCCCAGUCGUGGGGGAUAACGUAGCGAAAGCUACGCUAAUACCGCAUACGAUCUAUGGAUGAAAGCGGGGGAUCGCAAGACCUCGCGCGAUUGGAGCGGCCGAUAUCAGAUUAGGUAGUUGGUGAGGUAAAGGCUCACCAAGCCGACGAUCUGUAGCUGGUCUGAGAGGACGACCAGCCACACUGGGACUGAGACACGGCCCAGACUCCUACGGGAGGCAGCAGUGGGGAAUUUUGGACAAUGGGCGCAAGCCUGAUCCAGCAAUGCCGCGUGCAGGAUGAAGGCCUUCGGGUUGUAAACUGCUUUUGUACGGAACGAAACGGUGAGCUCUAAUACAGUUUGCGAGUGAGGGUACCGUAAGAAUAAGCACCGGCUAACUACGUGCCAGCAGCCGCGGUAAUACGUAGGGUGCGAGCGUUAAUCGGAAUUACUGGGCGUAAAGCGUGCGCAGGCGGUGAUGUAAGACAGAUGUGAAAUGCCCGGGCUCAACCUGGGACCUGCAUUUGUGACUGCAUCGCUAGAGUACGGUAGAGGGGGAUGGAAUUCCGCGUGUAGCAGUGAAAUGCGUAGAUAUGCGGAGGAACACCGAUGGCGAAGGCAAUCUUCUGGACCUGUACUGACGCUCAUG
rnacentral:rRNA from 1 species